CGGGCCUGGAGGCGCUCGCGCGCGACAGCGACGCGCUCGCGGUGAUCGACAACACGCCGCACGAGCACGCGGCGGCGCGCGAGCGGGUGCGCGCGCUGGCGGCGCGGGCGCACGGCGAAGCGCGCGUCGUGUGGCGGCACCACGGCAACCGCGGCGGGGUGGCGGGCGCGUACAACGCGGGGCUGUCGGCGCUGUUCGCGCAGGGCAUGGAGGCGGUCGCGCUGUUCGACCAGGACUCGACGGUGCCGGCCGCGUACUUCGCGCGGAUGCGCGACGCGUGCGCGCAACUGGGUACGCAACCGGGCGCGCACGCGGGCGCGUUCAUCGCGGGCCCGCGGAUCUACGACGCGAACGAGCAGCGCUUCCUGCCGGAGCUGAUGACGAGCGGGGUGGCGGUGCGCCGCGUGCGGGUGGAAGGCGAGCGCGCGCCGCAGCGCUGCGCGUUCCUGAUCUCGUCGGGCAGCGUGAUCUCGCGGGGCGCGUACGCGCGGCUCGGCCGCUUCGACGAGGCGCUGUUCAUCGACCACGUCGACACCGAGUACUGCCUGCGCGCGCUGGCGCACAACGUGCCGCUGUACGUGGUGCCGUCGCUGGUGCUGACGCACCGGAUCGGCGCGCGGCGCCGGCACAAGGUGGGGCCGUUCGAGCUGACGGCGAUGCACCAUGGGUGGCUGCGCCGAUACUACGGCGCGCGCAACGCGAUGCAGCUGGGGCUGCAGUACGGGUUGCGGUUUCCGGUGGCGCUGGUGCCGAAUCUGCUGACGAUCUGGCAGGUGGUCCAGGUGGUGCUGUGCGAGCGGGAGAAGGGCGCGAAGCUGCGCGGGAUCGCGCUGGGCGUGCUCGACGGGGUGUUCGGGCGCCUGGGGUCGUUCGAGGCGGCGCGCGCGGGCCACCGCACGGCACGCGAGGAGGCGAUGCGCGAAGCGCGGCAGCAGUCGUGAGACGCGGCGCGCGGACCCCAGCGUCAGCACGACGCGAUGAGCGCGGUGAAGGGACAACGGCUCGACCGGGCGCGCAUGGCAUCUCCGCCGCCGUAUCGACCCGCGUCACGCAACGGCAAGCGCCGAUGAUGACGGUGAAGAGGAAGACGACGCAGACGACGCCGACGGCGCAAAGGCUCGCGCCGGUAUCGGCGGCGAGCCGCGGCGGCCGGGCGAUACCGCUGACCGUCACCGGCGAAGCGGUCCGGCAUCGCCGGCGUCGGCCGCAGAGGAAUCGAGCACGAACGAAGGACGCAUCACACGCAUGACGCAGACCGCAACGCACGCAGCCACACGCACGACGACCCUGCCGGUCCGCCGCCCCGCGCGCCGGCUCGCGGCGCUCGCGCUCGCCUGGGCGCUCGCCGGCUGCGUGCCGUCGGGCCUGAAGCCGACGCUCGCGCCGCGCACGCCCGGCGACGACGCGCUCGCGCACACCACCGGCGGCGCGACGCACGGCGCAUGGCCGAGCCCGGACUGGGUGCGCCAGCUCGGCGAUCCGCAGCUCGACGCGCUCGUCGACGAAGCGCUG
rnacentral:rRNA from 1 species